AAACUUAAAGGAAUUGACGGGGACCCGCACAAGCGGCGGAGCAUGCGGAUUAAUUCGAUGCAACGCGAAGAACCUUACCAAGGCUUGACAUACACGAGAACGCCCUAGAAAUAGGGAACUCUUUGGACACUCGUGAACAGGUGGUGCAUGGUUGUCGUCAGCUCGUGUCGUGAGAUGUUGGGUUAAGUCCCGCAACGAGCGCAACCCUCGUUCUAUGUUGCCAGCACGUCAUGGUGGGAACUCAUGGGAUACUGCCGGGGUCAACUCGGAGGAAGGUGGGGAUGACGUCAAAUCAUCAUGCCCCUUAUGUCUAGGGCUUCACGCAUGCUACAAUGGCCGGUAACAAAGGGCUGCAAUACCGUAAGGUGGAGCGAAUCCCAAAAAGCCGGUCCCAGUUCGGAUUGAGGUCUGCAACUCGACCUCAUGAAGUCGGAGUCGCUAGUAAUCGCAGAUCAGCAACGCUGCGGUGAAUACGUUCCCGGGUCUUGUACACACCGCCCGUCAAGUCAUGAAAGUCGGUAACACCUGAAGCCGGUGGCCCAACCCUUGUGGAGGGAGCCGUCGAAGGUGGGAUCGGUAAUUAGGACUAAGUCGUAACAAGGUAGCCGUACCGGAAGGUGCGGCUGGAUCACCUCCUGUCUG
rnacentral:rRNA from 1 species